GAUGAACGCUAGCGGCAGGCCUAAUACAUGCAAGUCGAACGGUGUAGCAAUACACAGUGGCGCACGGGUGCGUAACACGUAUGCAACCUACCUUACAUUGGGGGAUAGCCUUUCGAAAGGGAGAUUAAUACCGCAUAAGACAGUAACUGGGCAUCCAGUAGCUGUUAAAGAUUUAUCGAUGUAAGCUGGGCAUGCGUCCAAUUAGUUAGUUGGCGAGGUAAUGGCUCACCAAGACGAUGAUGGGUAGGGGAACUGAGAGGUCAAUCCCCCACACUGGCUGUGGGAGACGGGCCAGACGCCUACGGGAGGAAGCAGUAGGGGAUAUUGGGCAAUGGGCGCAAGCCUGACCCAGCCAUGCCGCGUGCAGGAAGAAGGCGUUAUGCGUUGUAAACUGCUUUUAUACAGGAAGAAACGACCCUUGCGAGGGGCAUUGACGGUACUGUAUGAAUAAGCACCGGCUAACUCCGUGCCAGCCGCCGCCGUAACA
rnacentral:rRNA from 1 species